rnacentral:rRNA from 1 species
UACGUAGGGGGCAAGCGUUGUCCGGAUUUAUUGGGCGUAAAGAGCGUGUAGGCGGCCACACAGGUCAGCUGUGAAAACUCGAGGCUACAACCUCGAGACGUCGGUUGAAACCGUAUGGCUAGAGUCCGGAAGAGGAGUGUGGAAUUCCCGGUGUAGCGGUGAAAUGCGUAGAUAUCAGGAGGAACACCUGUGGCGAAAGCGGCUCACUGGACCAUAACUGACGCUGAUGCACGAAAGCUAGGGGAGCAAACAGG